rnacentral:rRNA from 1 species
AUUGAACGCUGGCGGCAUGCUUUACACAUGCAAGUCGAACGGUAGAGGGGCAACCCUUGAGAGUGGCGAACGGGUGAGUAAUGCAUCGGAACGUGCCCAGUAGUGGGGGAUAGCCCGGCGAAAGCCGGAUUAAUACCGCAUACGACCUGAGGGUGAAAGCGGGGGAUCGCAAGACCUCGCGCUAUUGGAGCGGCCGAUGUCAGAUUAGGUAGUUGGUGGGGUAAAGGCCUACCAAGCCGACGAUCUGUAGCUGGUCUGAGAGGACGACCAGCCACACUGGGACUGAGACACGGCCCAGACUCCUACGGGAGGCAGCAGUGGGGAAUUUUGGACAAUGGGCGCAAGCCUGAUCCAGCCAUGCCGCGUGCGGGAAGAAGGCCUUCGGGUUGUAAACCGCUUUUGUCAGGGAAGAAAUCUUCUGGGCUAAUACCCCGGGAGGAUGACGGUACCUGAAGAAUAAGCACCGGCUAACUACGUGCCAGCCGCCGCGGUAA